rnacentral:rRNA from 1 species
CAGUAGCCGCGGUAAUACGAAGGGUGCAAGCGUUAAUCGGAAUUACUGGGCGUAAUGCGUGCGUAGGCGGUUUGUUAAGUCUGUUGUGAAAUCCCCGGGCUCAACCUGGGAAUGGCAGUGGAUACUGGCAAGCUAGGGUGUGUCAGAGGAUGGUGGAAUUCCCGGUGUAGCAGUGAAAUGCGUAGAGAUCGGAAGGAACAUCUGUGGCGAAGGCGGCCAUCUGGGACAACACUGACGCUGAGGCACGAAAGCGUGGGGAGCAAACAGGAUUAGAUACCCCGGUAGUCCCUGUCUCUUAUAC